rnacentral:rRNA from 1 species
UACGGGGGGGGGCAAGCGUUGUUCGGAAUUACUGGGCGUAAAGGGCUCGUAGGCGGCCCACUAAGUCAGACGUGAAAUCCCUCGGCUUAACCGUGGAACUGCUUGGUAUACUGGCGGUCUUGAGUCAGCUAGGGGCUACCGGAACAAAUGGUGGAGCGGUGAAAUGCGUAGAUAUCAUUUGGAACGCCAAUGGUGAAAACAGGUAGCUGGGGCUGUACUGACACUGAGACACGAAAGCCAGGGGAGCAAACGGG